CGGCAUAUGCAAUGCCAGCAAACAGUCUAUUUUUAAUUCGCUAUUUAAAAAAACAGCCAGCAAAAGAGCAUAUUCUUUUUUAUCUUCCCUCCAAAAACAAACCCUAUAUGUUUUUAUUUCCCUCUCUCUCUUCUCUAACGCAUCCCGCCUAUGGCUUUCAUUCAGCCGACAACCUCACUCUCAUCAUUUAGUGAAAAACAAGAAUACUCUUUCAAAGUUCCAUGAUUCUGAAGGUUGUGGUGUUAGAUUUACUCCAAUCAAGGCAGCGGCUGACUUAACCUCAAUUUAUGGGAAAAUUCUUUGUACGAGAUCAAUCUAUGUCUCUCAUUUACAUAUAUUUAAUUUCUCUUUAUGAGUGAAUGGAUGAUUGAUUUGCUAAUGCUUCUUGUUGUCAAUUGGAGUAAACUCUCUUUUUCCUUUUCUUCAAUUUUUCAAUGCUAUACAUUAAAUUGAUUUUUUAGAUUGGCAUGUUUUGUGAUCAUCUUGUAAUCAUAGGAGUAUGGGUUUAACUCAGAUUCAUUUGUUUUCUCUAUUUAGCUUGUGAUUUGGUAUAAUUAUCUUUUAUUUGUUUAAACUAUUAUUACUGCUUGUGGUGUUUCUUCUAGAGGAGAAUAUAAGAAUUAAGAAGCCUAUGUGGUGUUUGAUAAAAUGCCACAAUAGAAAACAAUAAUUACUAUAUAAUGGUGUAGUGUUUCGCAAGUAGUUCCUCAAAUAUUUAAAAGAUGAGAUAUCAUUUUCAGAUAUUCGUAUGCUUUGAUUUUUUUGUUUAUGAGUUAAGUUAUUGAAGAACAAUAGAAGUACCCCCGAGUUAAAUGAGGCUGUUAAGGUUGUAUGAUUGGUUCUACUGGAGCAAACAAAGAUGUUAUCAUGACAUUGCUUCAAUUCUUAGACCACCAUAAGACUCGAGUCCUCAUGAUCUGGAAGCUUUUAUAGUGUUCUGACUUACAAAUGAUGACUAUAUUUCUUGGUGUUCCAUCUUCAAACUGAAGCUGUUUUUGGCCUUCGAAUUUAGUCAAGAUGCUUUUGUAAAUAUUGAAUCUAUUAUACUUCUUUUGGAUUAUCAGGUCUUGCUAUGUAUUUUGUGUCUUUGUUUUCAAGAAAUUGACGAGAUUAUGACAACAUGAGCAUAAGAAAUGAAAAAUUCAGCUUCUGCAAGAAGUCAAUUUGUUGAUGUAGCAGCCUAAGCAACUAGAUAUUUCAAAUAUACUGGUGACAAGCUUGACGACAUGGCUGUCACUGAUGAUAUAAUGAUUGAGGUGUAAGAUUUGAAAUCUAAUUCAAGGUCUUCCUCCUUCGAAUUGUAAGCACUUUUGAGUUCUCAAAUAAAUUGCAUGCAACUCUCUUGUUGAGGGGUUCACUUGCAUCUCUUAGUUUGUAUCUCAUAUAUACAUUUAAAAAUAAAAAUAUAUUAUGUGAUAGCUCAUAGUAUUAAUGAGUGGUGAUGACACAAAUGAUACUCUACAGUAAUACUUUUAAUAAUCAGCUAAUCCUUUUUGAAUUAGAAAGGGUGACAAACUAAAUAUUUUAAUUUUGUAUUUGUAACUUCAACUUAAACUUCACUAUGAUGAUCUAUGUUAAUUCACACCUAAGUUGUUGCAGUGAUUGGCAGGAUUACUUAUAAGUUAUAAGCUAUAUCUUACUGGUUCUGUCGCUUGUAGCAUGCCAUUUCAAUGACGUGACACGUGUGCUCUACUCGUUUUAUAACGACUUUUGAUUCUACAUAUACAUCCUACUUCUAUUCUUACAUUAAUCUUGGGCUUGAGUACUUCCAUGUUAUAUUAGUGAAAGUGAUAGUCUUCUUACUACUUUUUUUAUUUUCUUAAGGUUAAGCUCUAACAUUUGUUUUCUUGAACUGACCGGACACUAAAUAGGAACUAUGACAAAAUAGAUAUUUGGGGCCUUGCAGCUUAUAUAUAUACUUUUUUGUUGAAUGAGGCUUUUGGAUAAUUAUUUGAUUUUACUUUGAAAUAUACAGAUACUGAAUAAAGUCAACUAAUUCUCACAUAUGUCUUAUGGAUUGUGAUUCCCUUUAAAACUGAAGUUUGAAUCUAUAUUCUUUUAGUCCCUUUGCCUUCUCUAGUACAGAUAUAUUGGCAUAUUCAGCCAGAAAAUAUUCUAGUGAUCUUUUGCCUUUUCAGUUAUUAAUGACUUGGUCUUCUUCUACGAUGUUUCGUGGAAGUAACUCUUUUAUAAUAUCAAAUGAGUGAAUAGUUUUAAAUUUUGAUUUAACUUCUGCACUUAUUCAUUUUUGUCUCAACUAGCUCAAGAAUAAUAAGGACAAUUUUGUUGCAGAGUUUAAAUAAUAAAUCUAUCAUAUAGAGUUUUGUUGUUAUAAUGUAAUAGCACUAAAUGCCACUCAGCAUGCUACAUCAAGUAAAUUACUUGAUUUGAUAGUGUAUUUCCAUUUCUCUAAGAUGUAUGCAAGCAUUCUGAUUAUUUUUUCUUCCUCACUGUGCAAGUUUUAAGUAUUAAGUCACACAAAAAUUGUAAGACCAUCUCCUAGCUUCUCGUCAUUAUAGAAAAAUUUCUUUUUGAUGUACUUUAUGCAUAUAUAUCAGUGAUUGUCUUUGUCUAUAAAUUGGCUUGCUUAGUGUUAUUUGAGUUACUUAGAAAAGUUCUAUUUUUAUUAUGUGAGGAAAUACUUGUAACCCACAUGAUACAUUCAAGCCUGCUUUCUUUUUCAAAGAAGAAUUCAGUACAUAUGUUACUUUAACAAGAAUCAGGGACGUUGCUUUCUUUGGUUGAUGGCUGCAUCUGGAGAGUUUUAACUUCAAAUAUGAUUGGUGUUGUGUGGAUAACUGCAGUUCCAUGAUGAAAGUGGCCAUGUUCAUUCUCUAAAGAUCUUUUCCACUGCUUUUGAAGUAUAACUUUAGUCUGGUGAGACUCUUCAAAGGUUAGUUGAAAGCUAUAAUAUUUUGGUGAAUUUUUAAGCUGUAAGUUGGAUGAGGCUUUUGCUGCAACUUGAUCUGGUGCAAUUUAGCCAAUCUAUUUGGUGCGUAGAUGAAUCUUCAAGCUAGAAUUUCAUGUGGAAAACUUCCAAUAUGAUCAAGAACUGCAAAGAGAUACUUGUUGGGCUUCAAAUAACAUUAGAUUCAAUUGAUCUAUUUUUUCUCUUAUGUUGUUGAAACUAUGGAUGGAAUUUUUUUCCCUAUGGAUUCAAUGAAAUACACUACGAAUUUUAGGAUGGGGCAUGUUUUAUUAUAAUCUUUAUAUAUUUACAUUUAAAUUUUUUCGACGAUAACAAAAGUCAUUGAAG
rnacentral:lncRNA from 1 species